rnacentral:rRNA from 1 species
AUAGCGUAUAUUAAAGUUGUUGCAGUUAAAAAGCUCGUAGUUGAAUUUUAGGCCUGGUUGGACGGUCUGCUCUAGGGUUUGUACUGUCCUGACCGGGUCUUACCUUCUGGUGAGCUGUUGCAUUGUUUACUCAGUGUGGCAGGGAACCAGGACUUUUACUUUGAAAAAAUUAGAGUGUUUAAAGCAGGCAUUCGCUUGAAUACAUUAGCAUGGAAUAAUAGAAUAGGACUUUGGUUCUAUUUUGUUGGUUUCUAGGACCGAAGUAAUGAUUAAUAGGGAUAGUUGGGGGCAUUAGUAUUUAAUUGUCAGAGGUGAAAUUCUUGGAUUUAUUAAAGACUAACUUCUG